rnacentral:rRNA from 2 species
CUUAACACAUGCAAGUCGAACGGGAUUUAGUAAACGGAAGCUUCGGUGGAAGAUUACUAAUGAGAGUGGCGAACGGGUGAGUAACGCGUGAGCAACCUGCCUAUGACAGUGGGAUAGCCUCGGGAAACCGGGAUUAAUACCGCAUAAAAUCGUAGAAACACAUGUUUUAACGGUCAAAGAUUUAUCGGUCAUAGAUGGGCUCGCGUCUGAUUAGCUAGUUGGUGAGAUAACAGCCCACCAAGGCGACGAUCAGUAGCCGGUCUGAGAGGAUGAACGGCCACAUUGGAACUGAGACACGGUCCAAACUCCUACGGGAGGCAGCAGUGGGGAAUAUUGCACAAUGGGGGAAACCCUGAUGCAGCGACGCCGCGUGAACGAAGAAGGUAUUCGUAUCGUAAAGUUCUGUCCUAUGGGAAGAUAAUGACAGUACCAUAGAAGAAAGCUCCGGCUAAAUACGUGCCAGCAGCCGCGGUAAUACGUAUGGAGCGAGCGUUGUCCGGAAUUAUUGGGCGUAAAGGGUACGCAGGCGGUUUAAUAAGUCGAAUGUUAAAGAUCGGGGCUCAACCCCGUAAAGCAUUGGAAACUGAUAAACUUGAGUAGUGGAGAGGAAAGUGGAAUUCCUAGUGUAGUGGUGAAAUACGUAGAUAUUAGGAGGAAUACCAGUAGCGAAGGCGACUU